rnacentral:misc_RNA from 1 species
UUAAGUUCAGCGGGUAGUCCCACCCGAUUUGAGGUCAAAUUGUCAAAGAUUUUGUCCGAGGACGGUUGGAAGCAUAGAGCUCACAAUACAAACGCGGUCUUGCGACCAACUCUGGUGAAAUGUUUAUUACACCGGAUACGCUGCAAAGCAAGGUACACUCAGGCAUUUGAGACGAGCCGUAACAAAACGACAACAUCCAA